rnacentral:rRNA from 1 species
GAUGAACGCUGACAGAAUGCUUAACACAUGCAAGUCAACUGUGGCGGACGGGUGAGUAACGCGUAAAGAACUUGCCUCACAGCUAGGGACAACAUUUGGAAACGAAUGCUAAUACCUGAUACUGUGAGAGAGCUUUGCGUCCCAUGAUCUAGUUGUAGAGGUAACGGCGCACCAAGGCGAUGAUGGGUAGCCGGCCUGAGAGUGUGAUCGGCCACAAGGGGACUGAGAAACGGCCCUUACUCCUACGGGAGGUAGCAGUGGGGAAUAUUGGACAAUGGACCAAAGUCUGAUCCAGCAAUUCUGUGUGUACGAUGAAGUUGUCGGAAUGUAAAGUGCUUUCAGUUGGGAAGCGGUACCAACAGAAGAAGUGACAGCUAACUACGUGCCAGCAGCCGCGGUAAUAC